rnacentral:rRNA from 1 species
GAUGAACGCUAGCGGCAGGCCUAACACAUGCAAGUCGCGGGGCAGCGCGGUGUAGCAAUACACUGGCGGCGACCGGCGCACGGGUGCGUAACGCGUAUGCAACCUGCCCACUCCCGGGGGAUAGCCCGCCGAAAGGCGGAUUAAUACCCCAUGGACCCUUAGCGCCGCAUGGCGCGGAGGGUAAAGCUCCGGCGGGAAUGGAUGGGCAUGCGUGCCAUUAGCUGGUUGGUAGGGUAACGGCUUACCAAGGCUACGAUGGCUAGGGGGUCUGGGAGGAUGAUCCCCCACACUGGUACUGAGACACGGACCAGACUCCUACGGGAGGCAGCAGUGAGGAAUAUUGGUCAAUGGGCGGAAGCCUGAACCAGCCAUGCCGCGUGCAGGACGACGGCCCUACGGGUUGUAAACUGCUUUUCCGGGGGAAGAAUAACCCCCUGCGGGGGGGAUGCCGGUACCCCGGGAAUAAGGAUCGGCUAACUCCGUG